rnacentral:rRNA from 1 species
UACGUAGGGUGCGAGCGUUAAUCGGAAUUACUGGGCGUAAAGCGUGCGCAGGCGGUUGGUUAAGUCUGAUGUGAAAGCCCCGGGCUCAACCUGGGAAUGGCAUUGGAAACUGGCUGGCUAGAGUGUGGCAGAGGGGGGUGGAAUUCCGCGUGUAGCAGUGAAAUGCGUAGAGAUGCGGAGGAACACCGAUGGCGAAGGCAGCCCUCUGGGCUAGCACUGACGCUCAGGCACGAAAGCGUGGGGAGCAAACAGG